UACGAAGGGGGCUAGCGUUGCUCGGAAUUACUGGGCGUAAAGCGCACGUAGGCGGCUUUCUAAGUCGGGGGUGAAAUCCUGGAGCUCAACUCCAGAACUGCCUUCGAUACUGGAAAGCUCGAGUCCGGGAGAGGUGAGUGGAACUGCGAGUGUAGAGGUGAAAUUCGUAGAUAUUCGGAGGAAACACCAGUGGCGAAGGCGGCUCACUGGUCCAUUACUGACGCUGAGGUGCGAAAGCGUGGGGAGCAAACAGG
rnacentral:rRNA from 1 species